rnacentral:rRNA from 1 species
ACGUGAGUAACCUGCCCCUGACUCUGGGAUAAGCCUUGGAAACGAGGUCUAAUACCGGAUACGUGACGUACAGGCAUCUGAUGCGUCUGGAAAGAUUUAUCGGUCAGGGAUGGACUCGCGGCCUAUCAGCUUGUUGGUGGGGUAACGGCCUACCAAGGCGACGACGGGUAGCCGGCCUGAGAGGGCGACCGGCCACACUGGGACUGAGACACGGCCCAGACUCCUACGGGAGGCAGCAGUGGGGAAUAUUGCACAAUGGGCGCAAGCCUGAUGCAGCGACGCCGCGUGAGGGAUGAAGGCCUUCGGGUUGUAAACCUCUUUCAGCAGGGAAGAAGCGCAAGUGACNNUACCUGCAGAAGAAGCGCCNGCUAACUACGUGCCAGCAGCCGCGGUAAUACGUAGGGCGCAAGCGUUGUCCGGAAUUAUUGGGCGUAAAGAGCUCGUAGGCGGUCUGUCGCGUCUGCUGUGAAAACUCGAGGCUCAACCUCGGGCUUGCAGUGGGUACGGGCAGACUAGAGUGCGGUAGGGGAGACUGGAAUUCCUGGUGUAGCGGUGGAAUGCGCAGAUAUCAGGAGGAACACCGAUGGCGAAGGCAGGUCUCUGGGCCGCAACUGACGCUGAGGAGCGAAAGCAUGGGGAGCGAACAGGAUUAGAUACCCUGGUAGUCCAUGCCGUAAACGUUGGGCACUAGGUGUGGGGCUCAUUCCACGAGUUCCGUGCCGCAGCAAACGCAUUAAGUGCCCCGCCUGGGGAGUACGGCCGCAAGGCUAAAACUCAAAGAAAUUGNCGGGGGCCCGCACAAGCGGCGGAGCAUGCGGAUUAAUUCGAUGCAACGCGAAGAACCUUACCAAGGCUUGACAUACACCGGAAACUUCCAG